AGAGGAGGGCCAAAAUACAGGAAAGGUCUAGUAGGUAAAAGGUGUCUUGAGCCGAGCAAACAGAGAACAUGGCGGUCUGUCGGCAGGAUAGAGGGAUAUGCACGUGAAUGAAACUGCACAUAUUUCUUACUCUCUUUCGAAUCAUGCCCAUCUUGUACACCGCUAUCUGAAAUGUAGAAGGAGAUCGUUCUACCUGUCCUAAGUUACACCGUAAAUGUUGUAUCAUGGAUGUAAAAAUGUAAAGGCGGUAGGGAAAAUAACCUCUGGCUAGAGCAAUUAUAUCGUAUAGGGCCUGUAAGUUAAGUUUAGGUGCAGAUGAUAGGGGAGUAGUAGUGUAUUCCAGUGUAAGUGUGACAAUACGAGGGGUGUCUUAGAAUGUGAGUAAAAUCCUUAUAGAUGUCUUUCAGAUCGUUUUUAGGGACUAAGGGUGCAAAAGUGUCCAAGGUACAUAGAAUUUAUAAGUAAAGCUAUUGAGAUCUCAAUCCUUGCUUGAAAUAAUCGUGUAAAACAUUGCAACGACAGACGU
rnacentral:rRNA from 1 species